GAUGAACGCUGGCGGCGUGCUUAACACAUGCAAGUCGAACAAAGCACUUUAUUUGAUUUCCUUCGGGACUGAUUAUUUUGUGACUGAGUGGCGGACGGGUGAGUAACGCGUGGGUAACCUGCCUUGUACAGGGGGAUAACAGUUGGAAACGGCUGCUAAUACCGCAUAAGCGCACAGCAUCGCAUGAUGCAGUGUGAAAAACUCCGGUGGUAUAAGAUGGACCCGCGUUGGAUUAGCUAGUUGGUGAGGUAGCGGCCCACCAAGGCGACGAUCCAUAGCCGACCUGAGAGGGUGACCGGCCACAUUGGGACUGAGACACGGCCCAAACUCCUACGGGAGGCAGCAGUGGGGAAUAUUGCACAAUGGGCGAAAGCCUGAUGCAGCGACGCCGCGUGAGCGAAGAAGUAUUUCGGUAUGUAAAGCUCUAUCAGCAGGGAAGAUAAUGACGGUACCUGACUAAGAAGCACCGGCUAAAUACGUG
rnacentral:rRNA from 1 species